CCUACGGGAGGCAGCAGUGAGGAAUAUUGGUCAAUGGUCGGGAGACUGAACCAGCCAAGCCGCGUGAGGGAGGAAGGUACAGAGUAUCGUAAACCUCUUUUGUCAGGGAACAAAGGCGGGGACGUGUCCCCGGAUGAGUGUACCUGAAGAAAAAGCAUCGGCUAACUCCGUGCCAGCAGCCGCGGUAAUACGGAGGAUGCGAGCGUUAUCCGGAUUUAUUGGGUUUAAAGGGUGCGAAGGCGGUCUGUUAAGUCAGCGGUCAAAGCCCGGGGCUCAACCCCGGCCCGCCGUUGAAACUGGCAGUCGCGAGUUGGAGAGAAGUAUGCGGAAUGCGCGGUGUAGCGGUGAAAUGCAUAGAUAUCGCGCAGAACUCCGAUUGCGAAGGCAGCAUGCCGGCUCCACACUGACGCUGAGGCACGAAAGCGUGGGUAUCGAACAGGAUUAGAUACCCUGGUAGUC
rnacentral:rRNA from 1 species